rnacentral:rRNA from 1 species
GACGAACGCUGGCGGCGUGCUUAACACAUGCAAGUCGAACGGAAAGGCCCUGCUUUUGUGGGGUGCUCGAGCGGCGAACGGGUGAGUAACACGUGAGUAACCUGCCCUUGACUUUGGGAUAACUUCAGGAAACUGGGGCGAAUACCGGAUAGGAGCUCCUGCUGCAUGGUGGGGGUUGGAAAGUUUCGGCGGUUGGGGAUGGACUCGCGGCUUAUCAGCUUGUUUGUGGGGUAGUGGCUUACCAAGGCUUUGACGGGUAGCCGGCCUGAGAGGGUGACCGGCCACAUUGGGACUGCGAUACGGCCCAGACUCCUACGGGAGGCAGCAGUGGAGAGUAUUGCACAAUGGGCGGAAGCCUGAUGCAGAAGCGCCGCGUGCGGGAUGACGGCCUUCGGGUUGUAAACCGCUUUCGAAUGUGACGAAGCGUGAGUGACGGUAAUGGGUAAAGAAGCACCGGCUAACUACGUG